ACUAAGAAGCCUUCCCAGUAGUGUUCUUACCGGCUCAGCCCAGUCUCCACUUCUGCGUGCAGAAGCAAUGACAGUAUUAGCCUCCAGGAGACUUCUGGGCCGUGCAUUUUCUAAGUUUUUUUUUUUUCUAGAUGGCUUAGAACCUCAGCAGAUACUCACUCACCGUUCCCAGGUUAGGUUUUUUUAGAAUUUUAUAUUUGAUAGUAUUUAUACCAAAUGACUUGGAAGUCAUAGACUUGUUGGUGAAAACGUUUUUUUCUAAAGCACUAGUUUUUUUUUGUUUUUUUUUGUUUUUUUUUUAAGAAGACUUCCUAUUUAACAGAAGCCUGGAAAAUGUCCAGCAUCAACUCCUAAGCCGUGUAUUCCCGACGGUCUCCUCCCUGAUAACUCGGGUUCCGGGCUUAGGGCUGAACAGACGACAAAGCAGCUGUACACACACAAACUGUGCACACACACACACUGCCUUAGCUAGACACAGAGCCACAUGACCAACAGUCACACUCAACUGUCCCUAAACAGCAAUAGCCAAGUCCCUGCCUAUGCUGGGAUCUCCUCCACAUAGAAUAGCGAUUUCCUCUGGAUAUGGUUAGCUAGGCUUGUGUGGAACCUGAGCAUGGCUUGUGGGCAGCAAGGCCCUGGCACUGCUGGCGGCUUGGCUCCCUGUGUUCAGCCUGUGUUCAGGCCAAUAAACAUCGAGUAGAG
rnacentral:lncRNA from 1 species